UACGUAGGGAGCAAGCGUUGUCCGGAUUUAUUGGGCGUAAAGAGCUCGUAGGCGGUUUAGAAAGUCAGGUGUGAAACCUCCAGGCUCAACCUGGAGACGCCACUUGAUACUUCUAUGACUUGAGUUCGGUAGGGGACCAUGGAAUUCCUGGUGUAGCGGUGAAAUGCGCAGAUAUCAGGAGGAACACCGAUGGCGAAGGCAGUGGUCUGGGCCGAUACUGACGCUGAGGAGCGAAAGCGUGGGGAGCGAACAGG
rnacentral:rRNA from 1 species